CCUGCAGAAAGAUCAUUA
rnacentral:rRNA from 1 species